AGGCCAGUAACUCAAUUGGUAGAGUAUCGGUCUCCAAAACCGAAUGUCGUGGGUUCGAUUCCUACCUGGCCUG
rnacentral:tRNA from 1 species